CGGAGGGUGCAAGCGUUGUCCGGAUUUAUUGGGUUUAAAGGGUGCGUAGGCGGUCGUUUAAGUCUGGGGUGAAGCCCGUUGCUCAACAACGGAACUGCCCUGGAAACUGGAUGACUUGAGUACAGACGAGGGUGGCGGAAUGGAUGGUGUAGCGGUGAAAUGCAUAGAUACCAUCCAGAACCCCGAUUGCGAAGGCAGCUGCCUAGACUGUUACUGACGCUGAGGCACGAAAAGCGUGGGGAGCGAACAGGAUU
rnacentral:rRNA from 1 species